rnacentral:rRNA from 1 species
AACGAACGCUGGCGGCAUGCCUAAUACAUGCAAGUCGAACGAGACCAUCGGGUGCUGUGGCGUCUGGCUUUGUAACCCGUCGGAACCUGCCCUCAGGGUUGGCAUAACUCUCCGACAGGGGUGCCAAUACCGGACAAUGUCUUCUGACCUAAGAUUUAUCGCCUUUGAAUGGGCCCGCGUUGGAUUAGCUUGUUGGUAGGGUAAAAGCCUCCCACGGCGACAAUCCAUAGCUGGUUUGGGAGGAGGAUCAGCCACACAGGGACUCAGACGCGGCCCGGACUCCUACGGGAGGCAGCAGUGGGGAAUAUUGGAAAAUGGGCGAAAGCAUGAUCCAGCACUGACGCGUGAGUGAUGAAGGCCGUAGGGUUGUAAAGCUCUUUUAACCAGGAUGAUAAUGACAGUACCGGGAGAAUAAGCUCCGGCUAACUCCGUG